rnacentral:rRNA from 1 species
UAAGGAAUAUUGCGCAAUGGGCGAAAGCCUGACGCAGCAACGCCGCGUGGAGGAAGAAGGCUUUCGGGUCGUAAACUCCUUUUGCUUCUGACGAGGAAGGACGGUAGGAAGCGAAUAAGUCACGGCUAACUACGUG